rnacentral:rRNA from 1 species
AUUGAACGCUGGCGGCAUGCCUUACACAUGCAAGUCGAACGGCAGCACGAGAGCAAUCCUGGUGGCGAGUGGCGAACGGGUGAGUAAUAUAUCGGAACGUGCCCAGUCGUGGGGGAUAACGUAGCGAAAGCUACGCUAAUACCGCAUACGAUCUAUGGAUGAAAGCGGGGGAUCGCAAGACCUCGCGCGAUUGGAGCGGCCGAUAUCAGAUUAGGUAGUUGGUGAGGUAAAGGCUCACCAAGCCGACGAUCUGUAGCUGGUCUGAGAGGACGACCAGCCACACUGGGACUGAGACACGGCCCAGACUCCUACGGGAGGCAGCAGUGGGGAAUUUUGGACAAAUGGGCGCAAGCCUGAUCCAGCAAAUGCCGCGUGCAGGAUGAAGGCUCGGUUGUAACUAGCUUUGUUACGGUAACGAAACCGGGUAGUAGCUCUAAUACAGUUG